GAGCUAAAGACACACACAGACUGAAAGUGAAAGGAUGGAAAAAGAUAUUUCAUGCAAAUGGAAACAAUAAGAAAGUGGAGGUACCAAUACUCAAAUCAGACAACAUAUACUAUAAAACAAAGAAUGUUCCAAGAGA